ACAGUGGACGCGAGCAUCUUUGUUAGUAAGUGUGUAAGAGCGUACGGUGGAUGCCUUGGCACCAGGAGCCGAUGAAGGACGU
rnacentral:rRNA from 1 species